rnacentral:rRNA from 1 species
UAGGGAAUUUUCGUCAAUGGGGGGGAACCCUGAACGAGCAAUGCCGCGUGUGUGAAGAAGGUCUUCGGAUCGUAAAGCACUGUUGUAAGUGAAGAAUGCCAUAUAGAGGAAAUUCUAUGUGGGUGACGGUAGCUUACCAGAAAGCCACGGCUAACUACGUGCCAGCAGCCGCGGUAAUACGUAGGUGGCAAGCGUUAUCCGGAAUCAUUGGGCGUAAAGGGUGCGUAGGUGGCACGAUAAGUCUGAAGUAAAAGGCAACAGCUCAACUGUUGUAUGCUUUGGAAACUGUCGAGCUAGAGUGCAGAAGAGGGCGAUGGAAUUCCAUGUGUAGCGGUAAAAUGCGUAGAUAUAUGGAGGAACACCAGUGGCGAAGGCGGUCGCCUGGUCUGUAACUGACACUGAUGCACGAAAGCGUGGGGAGCAAAUAGGAUUAGAUACC